UGGCUCAGGAUGAACGCUAGCGGCAGGCUUAACACAUGCAAGUCGAGGGGUAACGAUGGCUUCGGCCAGGCGACGACCGGCGCACGGGUGCGUAACGCGUAUGCAACUUACCUUUAACUGAAGCAUAGCCCGAAGAAAUUCGGAUUAAUACUUCAUAAAAUCCUGAAUUCGCAUGUUUUUAGGAUUAAAGCUCCGGCGGUUAAAGAUGGGCAUGCGUGCCAUUAGUUUGUUGGUGAGGUAACGGCUCACCAAGACUGCGAUGGCUAGGGGGUCUGAGAGGAUGGUCCCCCACACUGGUACUGAGACACGGACCAGACUCCUACGGGAGGCAGCAGUGAGGAAUAUUGGUCAAUGGGCGCAAGCCUGAACCAGCCAUGCCGCGUGCAGGAUGAAUGCCCUACGGGUUGUAAACUGCUUUUCUAUAGGAAGAAACUUUCGAACGUGUUCGGAAUUGACGGUACUGUAGGAAUAAGCAUCGGCUAACUCCGUGCCAGCAGCCGCGGUAAUACGGAGGAUGCAAGCGUUAUCCGGAUUUAUUGGGUUUAAAGGGUGCGUAGGCGGAAUAAUAAGUCAGUGGUGAAAUCCUGCGGCUCAACCGUAGAACUGCCAUUGAUACUGUUAUUCUUGAGUACAGUUGAGGUGGGCGGAAUGUGUAAUGUAGCGGUGAAAUGCUUAGAUAUUACUCAGAACGCCAAUUGCGAAGGCAGCUCACUAAACUGUUACUGACGCUGAGGCACGAAAGCGUGGGGAGCGAACAGGAUUAGAUACCCUGGUAGUCCACGCUGUAAACGAUGAUCACUCGUUGUUGGCGAUACACUGUCAGCGACUGAGCAAAAGCAUUAAGUGAUCCACCUGGGGAGUACGGUCGCAAGAUUGAAACUCAAAGGAAUUGACGGGGGCCCGCACAAGCGGAGGAACAUGUGGUUUAAUUCGAUGAUACGCGAGGAACCUUACCUGGGCUUAAAUGCAGGACGACAGUCCGGGAAACCGGCCCUUCUUCGGACGGCUUGCAAGGUGCUGCAUGGUUGUCGUCAGCUCGUGCCGUGAGGUGUCGGGUUAAGUCCCAUAACGAGCGCAACCCCUAUUGUUAGUUACCAGCGGAUAAUGCCGGGGACUCUAACGAAACUGCCGGUGUAAACCGAGAGGAAGGUGGGGAUGACGUCAAAUCAGCACGGCCCUUAUGUCCAGGGCUACACACGUGUUACAAUGGCUAGU
rnacentral:rRNA from 1 species